rnacentral:rRNA from 1 species
UACGAAGGGGGGCUAGCGUUGCUCGGAAUCACUGGGCGUAAAGGGUGCGUAGGCGGGUCUUUAAGUCACGGGGUGAAAUCCUGGAGCUCAACUCCAGAACUGCCUUUGAUACUGGAGAGCUUGAGUCCGGAAGAGGUGAGUGGAACAUCCGAGUGUAGAGGUGAAAUUCGUAGAUAUUCGGAAGAACACCAGUGGCGAAGGCGGCUCACUGGUCCGGUACUGACGCUGAGGUGCGAAAGCGUGGGGAGCAAACAGG